UUCUUUACAUUUGUGGUUACUUUAUUGAAAUUAGUUCACAGUGAUGUUUAUUCAGUUGUCUGUAUAUUUCGAUAUGACUAAUAUAUGAUAAACCGUUGACCGUUGGUUCGUGUCGCUCGAGCGCUGAGUGGGGUGAGCUGAGCUCGGCGCAGCUGUGAGCUAAUGGAGAUCUUUUAUUUGUCUUUAUCGUUUAUAAAAAUGUGUUAUGCAUGUUCUUAAAAGUAUUUAACAUAGUUUAGUUAAUUAUAACGCAAGUUUUCUCCAAGAAUUGCAAUGUGGGCUUGGUUCAGCUCCCGCAUAGAUUGACUGAGCUCGUGAGCUAACGUUUGUGGAGAUCUUUUAACUUAUUAGUCUUUAUAUCUUUUAUAAAAAUGUGUUGUGCUUGUUGUUAAAUGUAUUUGACAUUGUUUAGUUAAUUAAAACGCAGGUUAACUACAAGUAUUGCAAUAUGGGAUUUGUUCAACAGCUCCCUCUUAUGAAAAACAACGUUAAAGUUUUACAGUAAACUUAAACGAGCUAAAGGCCAUUCUGAAUUAAUAACUGUUGUAUAUUUAUGGUUACUUCUUUCAGAUCCCUUUCUUGGUGUGUCUUGAUGUUUUAUAUUGGCUAAAGACAAGAUAUGUCUGCAAAUGCCGGUUCCAUGUCACAUGGCUUAUUCGAGGCAAGAUCCACAAAAAACUCUGCAGAUUUUGUUACCAUCAACUUGCAUUAUACAACUGACAGACUGAAACGGUUGGACACAAAAAUCUACAUUUGUGUUCCACUGGAGAAACAAAGUCACCUACAUCUUGGAUGGCCUGGGGACUACCUGACCUGUUCCUGUUAAGAGCUAGUCACUCUUUGUGGAAUGUUCCUGGCCCAUUUUUUUCCACGUUUUUACAAAAGUUUUUUCAAUGACCUCAAAAUUGAUGUGUAAAAAUAAUAAUAAACUUGAAUUUGUUUAAA